AUAAAUUACAAAACAAGUGCAGAGAUUUCGAUAAAUGAUGGUAUAAUU
rnacentral:guide_RNA from 1 species